UACGUAGGUGACGAGCGUUGUCCGGAUUUACUGGGCGUAAAGAGCGCGCAGGCGGCUGGUCAAGUCCGAUGUGAAAGCUCCCGGCUUAACUGGGAAAUUGCAUCGGAAACUGAUCGGCUGGAAGGUGGGAGAGGGUAGCGGAAUUCCCGGUGUAGUGGUGAAGUGCGUAGAUAUCAGGAGGAACACCAAUUGCGAAGGCAGCUCGCUGGGACGUUACUGACGCUGAGACGCGAAAGCGUGGGGAGCAAACAGG
rnacentral:rRNA from 1 species